UGGCAAACGGGUGAGUAACACGUGGGUGACCUGCCUUCGAGCGGGGGAUAACGUUCCGAAAGGAGCGCUAAUACCGCAUAACAUCCCGCCUUUGAAGAGGCGGCGAUCAAAGCUGGGGACCGCAAGGCCCGGCGCUUGGAGAGGGGCCCGCGCCCGAUUAGCUUGUUGGUGAGGUAACGGCUCACCAAGGCUUCGAUCGGUAGCCGGCCUGAGAGGGCGGACGGCCACACUGGGACUGAGACACGGCCCAGACUCCUACGGGAGGCAGCAGUGGGGAAUUGUUCGCAAUGGGCGCAAGCCUGACGACGCAACGCCGCGUGGAGGAUGAAGAUCUUCGGGUCGUAAACUCCUGUCGAGCGGGAAGAAUACCCCUCGGGUGAACAGCCCGGGAGGUUGACGGUACCGCGAGAGGAAGCCCCGGCUAACUCCGUGCCAGCAGCCGCGGUAAUACGGGGGGGGCAAGCGUUGUUCGGAAUUAUUGGGCGUAAAGGGCUCGUAGGCGGCCAACUAAGUCGGACGUGAAAUCCCCCGGCUCAACUGGGGAACUGCGUCCGGUACUGGAUGGCUUGAGUUCGGGAGAGGGACGUGGAAUUCCAGGUGUAGCGGUGAAAUGCGUAGAUAUCUGGAGGAACACCGGUGGCGAAGGCGGCGUCCUGGACCGACACUGACGCUGAGGAGCGAAAGCCAGGGGAGCAAACGGGAUUAGAUACCCCGGUAGUCCUGGCCCUAAACGAUGAAUGCUUGGUGUGGCGGGUAUCGAUCCCCGCUGUGCCGGAGCUAACGCAUUAAGCAUUCCGCCUGGGGAGUACGGUCGCAAGGCUGAAACUCAAGGAAUUGACGGGGGCCCGCACAAGCGGUGGAGCAUGUGUUUCAAUUCG
rnacentral:rRNA from 1 species